rnacentral:rRNA from 1 species
GACAGAGGUGCCGAGCGUUAGGCGGAAUCACUGGGCUUAAAGCGUGUGUAGGCGGAGUGCUAAGUACCUUGUGAAAUCCCACGGCUUAACCGUGGAACUGCUUGGUAUACUGGUUCUCUUGGGUCAUCUAGGGGCGAGCGGAACAAACGGUGGAGCGGUGAAAUGCGUAGAUAUCGUUUGGAACGCCAAUGGUGAAAACAGCUCGCUGGGGAUGCGCCGACGCUGAGACACGAAAGCCAGGGGAGCGAACGGG